rnacentral:rRNA from 1 species
UUGAAGAGUUUGAUCAUGGCUCAGAUUGAACGCUGGCGGCAGGCCUAACACAUGCAAGUCGAGCGGUAGCACAGAGAGCUUGCUCUCGGGUGACGAGCGGCGGACGGGUGAGUAAUGUCUGGGAAACUGCCUGAUGGAGGGGGAUAACUACUGGAAACGGUAGCUAAUACCGCAUAAUGUCGCAAGACCAAAGUGGGGGACCUUCGGGCCUCAUGCCAUCAGAUGUGCCCAGAUGGGAUUAGCUAGUAGGUGGGGUAACGGCUCACCUAGGCGACGAUCCCUAGCUGGUCUGAGAGGAUGACCAGCCACACUGGAACUGAGACACGGUCCAGACUCCUACGGGAGGCAGCAGUGGGGAAUAUUGCACAAUGGGCGCAAGCCUGAUGCAGCCAUGCCGCGUGUGUGAAGAAGGCCUUCGGGUUGUAAAGCACUUUCAGCGGGGAGGAAGGCGAUAAGGUUAAUAACCUUGUCGAUUGACGUUACCCGCAGAAGAAGCACCGGCUAACUCCGUGCCAGCAGCCGCGGUAAUACGGAGGGUGCAAGCGUUAAUCGGAAUUACUGGGCGUAAAGCGCACGCAGGCGGUCUGUCAAGUCGGAUGUGAAAUCCCCGGGCUCAACCUGGGAACUGCAUUCGAAACUGGCAGGCUAGAGCCAGGUGUAGCGGUGAAAUGCGUAGAGAUCUGGGUGAAAUGCGUAGAGAUCUGGAGGAAUACCGGUGGCGAAGGCGGCCCCCUGGACAAAGACUGACGCUCAGGUGCGAAAGCGUGGGGAGCAAACAGGAUUAGAUACCCUGGUAGUCCACGCCGUAAACGAUGUCGAUUUGGAGGUUGUGCCCUUGAGGCGUGGCUUCCGGAGCUAACGCGUUAAAUCGACCGCCUGGGGAGUACGGCCGCAAGGUUAAAACUCAAAUGAAUUGACGGGGGCCCGCACAAGCGGUGGAGCAUGUGGUUUAAUUCGAUGCAACGCGAAGAACCUUACCUGGUCUUGACAUCCACAGAACUUAGCAGAGAUGCUUUGGUGCCUUCGGGAACUGUGAGACAGGUGCUGCAUGGCUGUCGUCAGCUCGUGUUGUGAAAUGUUGGGUUAAGUCCCGCAACGAGCGCAACCCUUAUCCUUUGUUGCCAGCGGUUAGGCCGGGAACUCAAAGGAGACUGCCAGUGAUAAACUGGAGGAAGGUGGGGAUGACGUCAAGUCAUCAUGGCCCUUACGACCAGGGCUACACACGUGCUACAAUGGCAUAUACAAAGAGAAGCGACCUCGCGAGAGCAAGCGGACCUCAUAAAGUAUGUCGUAGUCCGGAUUGGAGUCUGCAACUCGACUCCAUGAAGUCGGAAUCGCUAGUAAUCGUAGAUCAGAAUGCUACGGUGAAUACGUUCCCGGGCCUUGUACACACCGCCCGUCACACCAUGGGAGUGGGUUGCAAAAGAAGUAGGUAGCUUAACCUUCGGGAGGGCGCUUACCACUUUGUGAUUCAUGACUGGGGUGAAGUCGUAACAAGGUAACCGUAGGGGAACCUGCGGUUGGAUCACCUCCUU